rnacentral:rRNA from 1 species
GACAGAGGGUGCAAACGUUGUUCGGAUUUACUGGGCGUAAAGCGUGUGUAGGCGGCUUGGCAAGUUGGAUGUGAAAGCCCACGGCUCAACCGUGGAAGCGCACCCCAAAAACUGCUUCGCUCGAGUCUCGGAGAGGAAGGUGGAAUGCUUGGUGUAGAGGUGAAAUUCGUAGAUAUCAAGCAGAACACCUGCGGCGAAGGCGGCCUUCUGGACGAUGACUGACGCUGAGACACGAAAGCGUGGGGGAGCAAACAGG